AGGCAAGACCCAAAGAAUAUAGGAAUUAAGCUGAAGUACUUUCACUGUUUUUCAAAAACCUCAGCAAUCAAAUUUUGACAAUGAAUCUAGAAAACAUUUGUGAACCAAUAAUAUUGAUUACAUGAAAUAAGAUUUCAAAAUACAACUUUCAAAUUAAA